rnacentral:lncRNA from 1 species
GGCAGUCCAACAAAAAGUCUGUCCUGAGUGCUUCAACUUGGGGUACAUAAAGCAUUCUUCUUUCUGCAAAGUCAAGCUAGAUCGAGGCACAUGCCUAUAUUCAGCGUACAUGAUUGACCAGUGUGAGCCAAUAGCUACACCAACUUGAUUGAUUGAAAGUAGUUGGCAACAAUAUAAAGGCAUGUUUGGUGAGAGGAAUUGGAUCUUAGAAUGGGAAUAGAAAUGG